rnacentral:rRNA from 1 species
UGGGGAAUCUUGGACAAUGGGGGCAACCCUGAUCCAGCCAUGCCGCGUGAGUGAUGAAGGCCUUAGGGUCGUAAAGCUCUUCGCCUGUGAAGAUAAUGACGGUAGCAGGUAAAGAAACCCCGGCUAACUCCGUGCCAGCAGCCGCGGUAAUACGGAGGGGGUUAGCGUUGUUCGGAAUUACUGGGCGUAAAGCGCACGUAGGCGGACCAGAAAGUUGGGGGUGAAAUCCCGGGGGCUCAACCCCGGAACUGCCUCCAAAACUAUUGGUCUAGAGUUCGAGAGAGGUGAGUGGAAUUCCAAGUGUAGAGGUGAAAUUCGUAGAUAUUUGGAGGAACACAGUGGCGAAGGCGGCUCACUGGCUCGAUACUGACGCUGAGGUGCGAAAGUGUGGGGAGCAAACAGGAUUAGAUACCCUGGUAGUCCACACCGUAAAACGAUGAAUGCCAGUCGUCGGGUAGCAUGCUAUUCGGUGACACACC